CAGCGCGGUAAUACGUAGUGCAAGCGUAUCCGGAAUUAUUGGCGUAAAGCGCGCGCAGGUGGUUCUAAGUCUGAUGUGAAAGCCACGGCUCAACCGUGGAGGGUCAUUGGAAACUGGGAGACUUGAGUGCAGAAGAGGAAAGUGGAAUUCCAUGUGUAGCGGUGAAAUGCGUAGAGAUAUGGAGGAACACCAGUGGCGAAGGCGACUUUCUGGUCUGUAACUGACACUGAGGCGCGAAAGCGUGGGGAGCAAACAGGAUUAGAUACCCUGGUAGUCCACGCCGUAAACGAUGAGUGCUAAGUGUUAGAGGGUUUCCGCCCUUUAGUGCUGAAGUUAACGCAUUAAGCACUCCGCCUGGGGAGUACGGCCGCAAGGCUGAAACUCAAAGGAAUUGACGGGGGCCCGCACAAGCAGCGGAGCAUGUGGUUUAAUUCGAAGCAACGCGAAGAACCUUACCUAGACUUGACAUCUCCUGAAUUACCCUUAACCGGGGAAGCCCUUCGGGGCAGGAAGACAGGUGGUGCAUGGUUGUCGUCAGCUCGUGUCGUGAGAUGUUGGGUUAAGUCCCGCAACGAGCGCAACCCUUAUCAUUAGUUGCUACCAUUAAGUUGAGCACUCUAGUGAGACUGCCACGGUUAACGUGGAGGAAGGUGGGGAUGACGUCAAAUCAUCAUGCCCCUUAUGUCUAGGGCUACACACGUGCUACAAUGGUGAAUACAAAUAGAUGCAAUACCGCGAGGUGGAGCCAAACUAUAAAAUUCAUCCCAGUUCGGAUUGUAGUCUGAAACUCGACUACAUGAAGCCGGAGUUGCUAGUAAUCGCGAAUCAGCAUGUCGCGGUGAAUACGUUCCCGGGCCUUGUACACACCGCCCGUCACACCACGAGAGUUUGUAA
rnacentral:rRNA from 1 species